rnacentral:lncRNA from 10 species
AACCCCAGGUUUUCACGUCAUGUUUUGAUUAUCAUUUGGUUCAAAAUACUUUCUAAUUUAUACCAUAGUUUCCUCUUUUGCCUAUAGGCUAUUGGAUUCGUCUUUUAUCCAGUCUAACAACUUGUCUUUCAACUGCAAAAUUGAGUCAAUUUACAUUUAACAUAAUUACUGAUAUAUUUUGCAUUAUAUACAUAUCAUCUUAUUGUUUCCUAUAUGUUCUGCCUGAUUUACGUUCUUCAAAAUCUUUUUUGCAUCAUUUAUAAUUAAUCAAGUCCUUUUCUUAUUACAUUUUUUCUCUUUUAGUUUGGUAGUAACACAUUAUUUUACUAUUAAGUGGUACCCUAAAUAUUGCAACAUACAUCUCGGACUCACUAUAGUCUAUUAUAAAUUGGUACUUUUGUCACUUCCCAGACAAUGCUAGAACUGAAAUUGGUAUUGUUUUGUUUACUUCCUCCCACCUUUUGUUAUUAUUGACAUGCAUCUCAUCAUUCAUAUAUUUUAAGUCUCGCAAGAUAUUUUCAUUUUUCUAUUUUGCAGUCAAGAUUCAUUCAGACUCACUCACAUAUACACCUUACGCACUGCUCUGUGUUUCUUCUUCCAUUUUGACAUUUCCUUCUGAGGUCAUGUUUCUUCUACCUAAAUAACUCCCUUUGGUGUUUCUUUUAGGUUGGGUAUGCUGCUGAUAAGUUCUCUCAGUUUUUGUUUUCUUACAGUUAUUUUCAUCUUCAAUUUUCAAGUAUAUUUUCAUGGAGCACAGAAUUCUAGAUUGGCAGUUAUUUUCUUUCUGCUUUUAAAAGAUGUCAUUCCAUUGUCUUUUGAACGCCAUCAUUUCGUUGAGAAGUCAGCUGUCAGUCUUAUUGCUGCUUCCUUCAAGUAGCAUGCCUUCUUUUUUUGUCUUCACUUAAGAUUUUCUCUUUCAACUUCAGAAGUUUUACUAAUGUGCCUAGGUGUGAUUUUCUUUGUAUUUAUCCUGCCUGGGAUAUCUAUGGCUUAAUAUCUUUCCUCUUUUUGGAAAUUGUUAGUCCUUAGCAGUUUGAAAAUUACCUACUGCAAUCUUUUUUUAC